ACGAACGCUGGCGGCAUGCCUAACACAUGCAAGUCUAGGGGUAGCAAUACCACUGGCGCACGGGUGAGUAACACGUAGGUUAUCUACCCCCAUCACAGACAUAACCCCGGGAAACCGGGGCUAAUAUCUGAUGAGGUCGCGAGAUCAAAGCUUCGGCGGAUGGGGAUGAGCCUGCGGCUGAUUAGCUAGUUGGUGAGGUAAUGGCUCACCAAGGCGACGAUCAGUAGCUGGUCUGAGAGGACGAACAGCCACACUGGAACUGAGACACGGUCCAGACUCCUACGGGAGGCAGCAGUGAGGAAUAUUGGUCAAUGGGAGCAAUCCUGAACCAGCAAUGCCGCGUGUGGGAUGACAGGGCUUCGCCUUGUAAACCACUGUCGGACGGGACGAAAGGAGGCCACGGGCCUCUGGGACGGUACCGUCAAAGGAAGGGUCGGCUAACUACGU
rnacentral:rRNA from 1 species